GGAUGUGAGGGCAAUCUGGCUGCAACAUCUGUCACCCCAUUGAUCCCCAGGUUGACUUGGCUAAUCUGGCUAGCUAGGCAGGUGUCCCUUCCCUCCCUUACCACUCCCUGUGCAUCCUCCCAAAUCUGCACUCUUGGUAGCAGAGGACAGAGGAGGAUUCUUUCCUUAGUCAAGAAUAUAUAAGUAAACUGAGUAUAGUGGUACACACCUGUAAUUCCACACUCAGGAGGCUGAGGCAGGAGGAUGCUGUGAGUUUAAGGCCUGUCUAGGCUAUGAAGUGAGUUCCAAGGCCAG
ensembl:misc_RNA 7SK 7SK RNA